GACGAACGCUGGCGGCGUGCUUAACACAUGCAAGUCGAGCGGUAAGGCCCUUUCGGGGGUACACGAGCGGCGAACGGGUGAGUAACACGUGGGUGACCUGCCCUCAGCUCUGGGAUAAGCCCGGGAAACUGGGUCUAAUACCGGAUAUGACUUCAUGACGCAUGUUGUGGAGUGGAAAGCCUUGUGCGGCUGAGGAUGGGCCCGCGGCCUAUCAGCUUGUUGGUGGGGUGANGGCCUACCAAGGCGACGACGGGUAGCCGGCCUGAGAGGGCGACCGGCCACACUGGGACUGAGAUACGGCCCAGACUCCUACGGGAGGCAGCAGUGGGGAAUCUUGCGCAAUGGGCGAAAGCCUGACGCAGCG
rnacentral:rRNA from 1 species